UUGGCAUGUGUGGGACCAAGUUAGAGGGACCCUAGAACCUCCCAUCCUGGUCAUGUCUGGAUCCCCCCAAAGUUGAGGAGUAUGGUGAGAGUGUGGGGGGUCUCCACCCCCCUCCCCAAUGCGAGCAGCCCGCUUUUUGUGUUGGGCGUCCCAGGACAGACAGACAGACGUGGAGAGAAUGGAACUUUCUGGUGGCUUGUCCAGUCAAGAGUAAAACAAAACAAAAGCAGCCCCCCACUACUGUCCGAAAUUGCUCUGCGGGUCUGGGGGAGAGAGUGGCCAGAGGAGCAGGGAGAGGUGGGGAUGAGCCCAGUGCCCGGUUGUGGCUGUUGGGCAACAUCUCUCACGCAGGAGUCUACUUGCCCUACAAGGAAGCCUUCUGGGGGGAGAGGGAAGGUCUUCUCUUCCUCCCGCCCACGGCACCUGCACCCGCCCUGCAGUUCUGUGACACAUGCUUUCCUAGCAAUUACCUUCACCAGGACCACAUCCGAAGCCAGACCCACUGAUGAAUGGACCUCUCUGAAUCUGCAUGACCAUCACGGACCCUGCCUGGGGGGAGGGGGUGAUACUCACCGCGCUGCCAUCAGGGUGGCUCGGGUCGUGUGCCCAUCCGGGAGCACAGCCAGGUCGGGAAGCGGGCUGCAAACCAGGCACUCGACCCGGUCGACCAGGCAGGGGGGAGAUGUCAGCCCCUCGAUUUUCCAGACCAGAACCGAGGCUCAGAGAGGAGUGG